ACCUGUGGCCUCAGUUUUACCCCUGAUCACGUUCUGUUCCAGGCAGGAAGGAGGAGGAAACGGGGUGGAAAGAGCAAAAGCUUCCUGCUGAGUUAGCCCCUUCGAAGUCUUUACUAGCCACACUUGGCUACAAGGAUGCCUGGGAAAUGCAGUCUUUGGGCCAGGCACAUUGCACCUGUCAUAAAAUCAAGGUUCCGUUAGGAAGCAAGAAGGGGAGAAUGGCUGUUCGGACAGCAACUUGCAGCCUCUGCCACACUUAUCUGUGCAUCUCAGGCAGGAAACGGGUAAAAUUUCAUUCACAGAAUGGAAUGAAGUCAUCGGCACCAGUAGUCAGUGCAGCCUUUCCCUUGCUCAUCUCAUCUCAGACAAAUGAGUCAGCUGUCACUGAACUGUCUCCCGGAGCUGCAUUUCUUGGCCCCUCGGCGUGGUAUUCAUGGUAGAAGCAGGAACCUCACCCUGACUUCAGAGACUGUUCUACUUUUGUUCUAGAACAUUCUUCUUCCCAUCUGUCGAAUUUCAGAGCAGGUGGUGACCUUCAUUUUCUAUCUGUGGCUGCAUAGUUAAAAAAAUAAAUUUGGUUUUGAGGUGCUUAUAGACUUUUAGAGAAAUUUUUUUGGGCCACACCCGCAGCAUCAGGAAGUUUUGAAGCCAGCAAUCAAACCAGUGCCACAGCAGUGAAUAGAGCCACAGCAGUGACAACACCAGGUCCUUAACCCGCUAUGCCACCAAGAGAGGCUUUAGGCUGAGAGAAUUUUUAGGUGCUCUACAGGCUAGGGGUCUAAUUGGAGCUGUAGCCACCAGCCUACGCCAGAGCCACAGCAACGCGGGAUCCAAGCCGCAUCUGAAAUCUUCACCACAGCUCACAGCAACGCCAGAUCCUUAACCCACUGAGCAAGGCCAGGGAUCGAACCUGCAACCUCAUGGUUCCUAGUUGGAUUCGUUAACCACUGAGCCACGACGGGAACUCCGAUACUGUGUUUUCUAUAAAUGGAAGGUUUGCGGCAACCAUGCGUGGAGCAAAAUCUAUGGAUGCCAUUUUUUUCCAACAGCGUUUUUUCACUUUGUGUCUCUGUCACAUUUUGGUCAUUCUCAUAAUAUUUCAAAGCUUUUUCAUUAUUAUAUUUGUUUUGGUGGUCUGUGAGCAGUAGCCUUUGAUGUUAUUGCUGCGACGUGCUGAAAGUGCAAGUGAUGGUUAACAUUUUUAGCAAUAAAAUUUUCAGGAAUUCCUGUUGUGGCUCAUCAGGUUAAGAACCUGACAUAGUGUCCUUGAGGAUGCAGGUUCAAUCCCUGGCCUCUCUUAGUGUGUUAAGGAUCCGUUGUUUCCACAAGCUGCAGUGUAACUUGCAGAUGUGGCUCGGAUCUUGCAUUGCCCUGGCUGUGGCUGUGGUGUGGGCUGGCAGCUGCACCUCUGAUUUGACCCCUACCUAGCUCAGGAAUUUCCAUAUGCCUCAGGUGUGGCCCUAAAAAAAUUUUUUUUUAAUUAAGCCAUGUACAUUUUUUAGACACGAAGCUAUUGUACACAUAGUAGACUUAAGUAUAGCGUAAACAUAAGUUUUAUAUGCACUGGGAAACCAAAAAAUUUUCAUGACUUGCUUUAUUGUGGUGGUCUGGAACCAAAUCCACAACAUUUCUGAGGCCUGUAUUUGCUUAACUUUAAGGUUAAAAACAGAUUAUAAAAUAUUCAAUAUAGCAGAGCUGUUAAGAAUUUGGGCUGUGGAUUGAGACCUGAUCCCACAAGAUUAUAGUCGUAUGAUCUUGGGCAACUGAUGGAAAUGUCCUGUAUGUGCCUGAGUUUACUCAUCUGUAAAGUGGAAUAACAGUUGGAAUUUGCUGAAAAGAGACCAGUGAUAAAGCACAUGCCUUUCCUGCUCUGCUGGCCACAUCCAAUGGUUCCAAGGAUGGUAAAGCUCUCUAGGGCAGUGGAUAAGCCCUACCUGAAACACGGGGUGGUGCCAGCCUCCAGAGACCUUCAGCUCACAGUGCAGAGGAUGCUUCUGUCUGGGACAGAGCUCUUGUGACAUGUACCUGAGGGGCUGUGGUCCCCUGCACACUGGGGCUGAGACCCUAGGUAUAUGUAGCACGUGGAUACAUCAGGAAUUGUUGCCAUGUAUCCUUUUUGGGAAUAGAAACUGGAAGAAUGAGAAUGAGUGGCUGUACUCAGAAUGUAAUUGGUACUACAUUAAUUUUGAGAAAUUCAGUGCAAGUUCAUUUUUUCAACGUACAUGUAUUUGUUACUCAGAGGUGUUGAGAGGUCACUUGCUGGAAAACACACAGUUAAUAAGUAGCAGAGCCAGGAAGCCGCUUUCCCAGCCACUGCACUUAACCUAAUCUCAGGCCAUGGUGGCCUCAGUCCGUUCCCUUUGGUGCAGAAGCACUGCUCAAGCCUACUUUUCAGAGUGGGUUAAGGGGGGCCUGCCCCUGAGUCUUGAAUAUCCUGUGCAGGGAGGAUUUGCACGCAGACCCAGGGCAGGAGAGAGGGGCACCUUCUUGUUAUAAAAAAAAAAUGGGGGGAGAAUUCUCUCUGACCCAAUAGUUGAAGAAUCACAAGGGAUUUCCAUGCACAGGAUGGGCUGUCUUACAAGCAGUUUAAAAGCUGGAGAAAGAAACGGCCAAUUUAUCUUUUUCCUUCCACAAGUAGGAUAUAUUUUUGUUCAGUAAAUAUAUGUUGGUUAAAUGAACCACACUGAGGCUGGAUUCCAGCCAGCUGAUAACCAAGUUUACUGCCUAAUACAGAAGUUGUUUCUCUACUUCCUGUUUUUCAGGGUCCAAAAAUGUAUUGUGAGCCUCUUUCACACAGGAAAAUUUAAAAAUCAAACAAAAAACCUGCAGUGCUUGGAUUUCCCAUUGUGGCUCAGCAGGUUAAGAACCCAACCUAGUGUCCAUGAGGAUGUGGGUUCAGUCCCUGGCCUCACUCA
rnacentral:lncRNA from 1 species